GAUGAACGCUGGCGGCGUGCCUAAUACAUGCAAGUCGAGCGAACGGACGAGAAGCUUGCUUCUCUGAUGUUAGCGGCGGACGGGUGAGAAACACGUGGAUAACCUACCUAUAAGACUGGGAUAACUUCGGGAAACCGUAGCUAAUACCGGAUAAUAUUUUGAACCGCAUGGUUCAAAAGUGAAAGACGGUCUUGCUGUCACUUAUAGAUGGAUCCGCGCUGCAUUAGCUAGUUGGUAAGGUAACGGCUUACCAAGGCAACGAUGCAUAGCCGACCUGAGAGGGUGAUCGGCCACACUGGAACUGAGACACGGUCCAGACUCCUACGGGAGGCAGCAGUAGGGAAUCUUCCGCAAUGGGCGAAAGCCUGACGGAGCAACGCCGCGUGAGUGAUGAAGGUCUUCGGAUCGUAAAACUCUGUUAUUAGGGAAGAACAUAUGUGUAAGUAACUGUGCACAUCUUGACGGUACCUAAUCAGAAAGCCACGGCUAACUACGUG
rnacentral:rRNA from 1 species